rnacentral:rRNA from 1 species
UACAGAGGGUGCAAGCGUUGUUCGGAAUUAUUGGGCGUAAAGCGUGCGCAGGCGGUUUUGUAAGACUGUCGUGAAAUCCCCGGGCUUAACCUGGGAACUGCAUUUGUGACUGCAUAGCUAGAGUACGGUAGGGGGAAGCGGAAUUCCGGGUGUAGUGGUGGAAUGCGUAGAUAUCCGGAGGAACACCAGUGGCGAAGGCGGCUUCCUGGACCGGUUCUGACACUGAGGAGCGAAAGCGUGGGGAGCGAUCCGG